UAGCGUCACUGAAUUGUGAGACUUUCUUCCUCCCCCCAGGAUCUAUGGAUUAUUAUACGUAUCUCAGUCUUACCUUCUGGUGCAAAAGGGUCCUGUGCAGAGUCAGUUUCUGAAGAACUCUCUCAAGGCCUGAACUGGAGAGAAACCAAAACAGAACCAAAAGGAGGAUGUCAUCUCCAUGAGGUGAGAGAAUUUUGUUUUGCUGUAAGACUGUGGCACGUCAGUGAAGCCCAACUACAAAGGCAUAAAUACUACCUGGAUGAGAUGAGAUCUACAAAAUUUAAAUGGAAAACGAGAUGAGAUGAAAACUCUACUUGAAAUCUCCCCCAUGUCAGCAUUCUUCCUUCAUGUUAGGAGUGAGAAACCUCUGAAACCCCUACUAUCACCAAUGAAACAAAACAGUAAAAGAGAAGAUGCGUCUCAGUCCUUCUAAAUCAGAGAUGUUCUCCCAUUUGGGUGAAUAUGUGCAGCCUAACAGGUCCAUUAAAAUCCACUCUGCCCUAUGUUCUGAUCUGUUCCGAAACUGGAGCAAAGGAAAUCAUCAUCCCGUCCUGCUCACCCUCCUAAACACAGGCGAGGCUUCGGCGUCUCUGCAUGGUCUGCCCCUUUCUCCCGCAUCUUCUCCCCCUCGCUCUCUGCUGGCAUCCCUGCACCGCAUGAACCAGCGCAGGGACGGGCACAGAGUUGGGGCUUCGUGAAUAUUUGUUAAAUAAGUGAAUCAUUUUCACCAUUUGAUAGUCUCCUGCAGAUAUUUAAAGUAUUUUAACUCCAAGUAAUCACUUGAUCAUGCCGAAUAAUUUAUUAUUUCAACAAAUAAAUGUCUGUUGUGUUCUCAGCAUGAGAAUAAGCAUUAAAA